CAAAUACUCCCUCCGUCCGGAAAUACUUGUCAUCAAAAUGGAUAAAAGGAAAUGUAUCUAGACGUAUUUUUGUUUUAGAUACAUCUCUUUUUAUCCAUUUUGAUGACAAGUAUUUUCAGACGGAGGGAGUAGAAA
rfam:Triticum aestivum genome assembly, contig: Triticum_aestivum_CS42_TGACv1_scaffold_100232_2AL